UGAGGAAUAUUGGUCAAUGGGCGAGAGCCUGAACCAGCCAAGUAGCGUGAGGGAUGACUGCCCUAUGGGUUGUAAACCUCUUUUGAUUGGGAACAAAGAGCGCCACGUGUGGUGCGUUGCGUGUACCUUUCGAAUAGGCAUCGGCUAAUUCCGUGCCAGCAGCCGCGGUAAUACGGAAGAUGCGAGCGUUAUCCGGAUUUAUUGGGUUUAAAGGGUGCGCAGGCGGCGUGCCAAGUCAGCGGUCAAAGUUCCGGGCUCAACCCGGUGAUGCCGUUGAAACUGGUGUGCUUGAGUGCGUGCGAGGGAGGCGGAAUGCGUUGUGUAGCGGUGAAAUGCAUAGAUAUGACGCAGAGCUCCGAUUGCGAAGGCAGCUUUCCAGCACGCCACUGACGCUGAGGCACGAAAGCGU
rnacentral:rRNA from 1 species